CUCUUGGUCCUCUACUGACAGUUGACUGACAGCUCUUUAUUAUGCAAAAACCAACACUACUUCCUCGAAGUUGAGAACGGAAGACAAUAGCAGAACUGCCCGGGCGUAAAGACACACUUGGAGCUGCUAGAAGUGAGCCAUAUGCAACAGAGGAUGCCACUGCUUUUCCCACAACAUAAAAAGGAGAGGCUAGAAGUUCAGCCAUGGGAAGCCAUCCAAGGAGAGAAAGUUCAGCUUUCCCAAUCAUGUUUUCCUUGGAAUUAGUAUGUGAGACCACAGGGAGGAAGGACGGAAAAUCCAAGUGGUAUGAAGGUUUCCCAAGACUGGCAGGAGAAGCUUGGGAAGUUGACUAUACAUGUACAGAUAAUCUUAAUUUAUUACACUGCGCCACAUACAUACUUUGAAUCAAAUUCUUGUUAAAAAUAGAAGCUGAAAAGGAGAUAAAUGUGAAAAUAAAUAUAUUUUUGUUAAAGAGGGUAAAAAUAAAAAUAUCUGUUAUAAUGGUGGAUUUUGUAUAAUAAGAUUUUUGUGCUAAAAAUAAAAGAUAAAAGUCAAGUUAUAAACUGCCUGAGGAAGGUACACAGA
rnacentral:sRNA from 1 species